UACGUAGGGUGCAAGCGUUGUCCGGAAUUAUUGGGCGUAAAGAGCUCGUAGGCGGUCUGUCGCGUCGGCUGUGAAAUCCCGGAGCUCAACUCCGGGUCUGCAGUCGAUACGGGCAAACUGGAGUACUGCAGGGGAGACUGGAAUUCCUGGUGUAGCGGUGAAAUGCGCAGAUAUCAGGAGGAACACCGGUGGCGAAGGCGGCGAUCUGGGUAGAUACUGACGCUGAGGUGCGAAAGCGGGGGGAGCAAACAGG
rnacentral:rRNA from 1 species